rnacentral:rRNA from 1 species
AGAGUUUGAUUCUGGCUCAGGAUGAACGCUAGCUACAGGCUUAACACGUGCAAGUCGAGGGGCAGCAUUGGGAUAGCUUGCUAUUCCAGAUGGCGACCGGCGCACGGGUGAGUAACGCGUAUCCAACCUUCCCCUUAGUAGAGGAUAGCCCGGCGAAAGUCGGAUUAAUACUCUAUGUUGUGUUUUUGAGGACAUCUGACGAACACCAAAGGUUCACCGCUAAGGGAUGGGGAUGCGUCUGAUUAGCUUGUUGGCGGGGUAACGGCCCACCAAGGCUACGAUCAGUAGGGGUUCUGAGAGGAAGGUCCCCCACAUUGGUACUGAGACACGGACCAAACUCCUACGGGAGGCAGCAGUGAGGAAUAUUGGUCAAUGGGCGAGAGCCUGAACCAGCCAAAGUAGCGUGCAGGAGGACUGCCCUAUGGGUUGUAAACUGCUUUUAUAGGGGAAUAAAGUGAGGUACGUGUACCUUUUUGUAUGUACCCUAUGAAUAAGGACCGGCUAAUUCCGUGCCAGCCGCCGC